rnacentral:rRNA from 1 species
AUUGAACGCUGGCGGCAUGCCUUACACAUGCAAGUCGAACGGUAACAGGUCUUUCGGGAUGCUGACGAGUGGCGAAUGGGUGAGUAAUACAUUGGAACGUGCCUAGUAGUGGGGGAUAACUACUCGAAAGAGUGGCUAAUACCGCAUGAGAUCUAUGGAUGAAAGCAGGGGACCUUCGGGCCUUGUGCUACUAGAGCGGCCGAUGGCAGAUUAGGUAGUUGGUGGGAUAAAAGCUUACCAAGCCUGCGAUCUGUAGCUGGUCUGAGAGGACGAUCAGCCACACUGGGACUGAGACACGGCCCAGACUCCUACGGGAGGCAGCAGUGGGGAAUUUUGGACAAUGGGGGAAACCCUGAUCCAGCAAUGCCGCGUGCAGGAUGAAGGCCUUCGGGUUGUAAACUGCUUUUGUACGGAACGAAAAGUCUUGGGUUAAUACCCUGGGAUCAUGACGGUACCGUAAGAAUAAGCACCGGCUAACUACGUGCCAGCCGCCGCCGUAAUAC